rnacentral:rRNA from 1 species
GCAUACUGCCGUGAAUACGUUCCCGGGCCUUGUACACACCGCCCGUCACACCAUGAGAGUUGGGGAUACCCGAAGCCUGUGAGCUAACUUUUAGAGGCAGCGGUCGAAGGUAGAAUCAAUGAUUGGGGUGAAGUCGUAACAAGGUACC